rnacentral:rRNA from 1 species
GACGAACGCUGGCGGCGUGCUUAACACAUGCAAGUCGAACGCUGAAGCUUGGUGCUUGCACUGGGUGGCUGAGUGGCGAACGGGUGAGUAAUACGUGAGUAACCUGCCCUUGACUCUGGGAUAAGCCUGGGAAACUGGGUCUAAUACUGGAUACGACAUGUCACCGCAUGGUGGUGUGUGGAAAGGGUUUUACUGGUUUUGGAUGGGCUCACGGCCUAUCAGCUUGUUGGUGGGGUAAUGGCUCACCAAGGCGACGACGGGUAGCCGGCCUGAGAGGGUGACCGGCCACACUGGGACUGAGACACGGCCCAGACUCCUACGGGAGGCAGCAGUGGGGAAUAUUGCACAAUGGGCGGAAGCCUGAUGCAGCGACGCCGCGUGAGGGAUGACGGCCUUCGGGUUGUAAACCUCUUUCAGCACGGAAGAAGCGAAAGUGACGGUACGUGCAGAAGAAGCGCCGGCUAACUACGUG